rnacentral:rRNA from 1 species
UUAAGCGACUAAGCGUACACGGUGGAUGCCCUGGCAGUCAGAGGCGAUGAAGGGCGUGCUAAUCUGCGAUAAGCGCCGGUAAGGUGAUAUGAACCGUUAUAACCGGCGAUACCCGAAUGGGGAAACCCAGUGUGACUCGUCACACUAUCAUUAACUGAAUCCAUAGGUUAAUGAGGCGAACCGGGGGAACUGAAACAUCUAAGUACCCCGAGGAAAAGAAAUCAACCGAGAUUCCCCCAGUAGCGGCGAGCGAACGGGGAGGAGCCCAGAGCCUGAAUCAGCAUGUGUGUUAGUGGAAGCGUCUGGAAAGGCGCGCGAUACAGGGUGACAGCCCCGUACACAAAAGCGCAUGUGCUGUGAGCUCGAUGAGUAGGGCGGGACACGUGGUAUCCUGUCUGAAUAUGGGGGACCAUCCUCCAAGGCUAAAUACUCCUGACUGACCGAUAGUGAACCAGUACCGUGAGGGAAAGGCGAAAAGAACCCCGGCGAGGGGAGUGAAAAAGAACCUGAAACCGUGUACGUACAAGCAGUGGGAGCACCCUUUGGGGUGUGACUGCGUACCUUUUGUAUAAUGGGUCAGCGACUUAUAUUCUGUAGCAAGGUUAACCGUAUAGGGGAGCCGGAGGGAAACCGAGUCUUAACCGGGCGUUAAGUUGCAGGGUAUAGACCCGAAACCCGGUGAUCUAGCCAUGGGCAGGUUGAAGGUUGGGUAACACUAACUGGAGGACCGAACCGACUAAUGUUGAAAAAUUAGCGGAUGACCUGUGGCUGGGGGUGAAAGGCCAAUCAAACCGGGAGAUAGCUGGUUCUCCCCGAAAGCUAUUUAGGUAGCGCCUCGUGAAUUCAUCUCCGGGGGUAGAGCACUGUUUCGGCUAGGGGGCCAUCCCGGCUUACCAACCCGAUGCAAACUGCGAAUACCGGAGAAUGUUAUCACGGGAGACACACGGCGGGUGCUAACGUCCGUCGUGAAGAGGGAAACAACCCAGACCGCCAGCUAAGGUCCCAAAGUCAUGGUUAAGUGGGAAACGAUGUGGGAAGGCCCAGACAGCCAGGAUGUUGGCUUAGAAGCAGCCAUCAUUUAAAGAAAGCGUAAUAGCUCACUGGUCGAGUCGGCCUGCGCGGAAGAUGUAACGGGGCUAAACCAUGCACCGAAGCUGCGGCAGCGACGCUGAUGCGUUGUUGGGUAGGGGAGCGUUCUGUAAGCCUGCGAAGGUGGCCUGUGAGGGUUGCUGGAGGUAUCAGAAGUGCGAAUGCUGACAUAAGUAACGAUAAAGCGGGUGAAAAGCCCGCUCGCCGGAAGACCAAGGGUUCCUGUCCAACGUUAAUCGGGGCAGGGUGAGUCGACCCCUAAGGCGAGGCCGAAAGGCGUAGUCGAUGGGAAACGGGUUAAUAUUCCCGUACUUGGUGUUACUGCGAAGGGGGGACGGAGAAGGCUAUGUUGGCCGGGCGACGGUUGUCCCGGUUUAAGCGUGUAGGCUGGUUUUCCAGGCAAAUCCGGAAAAUCAAGGCUGAGGCGUGACGACGAGGCACUACGGUGCUGAAGCAACAAAUGCCCUGCUUCCAGGAAAAGCCUCUAAGCAUCAGGUAACACGAAAUCGUACCCCAAACCGACACAGGUGGUCAGGUAGAGAAUACCAAGGCGCUUGAGAGAACUCGGGUGAAGGAACUAGGCAAAAUGGUGCCGUAACUUCGGGAGAAGGCACGCUGACAUGUAGGUGAAGUGAUUUACUCAUGGAGCUGAAGUCAGUCGAAGAUACCAGCUGGCUGCAACUGUUUAUUAAAAACACAGCACUGUGCAAACACGAAAGUGGACGUAUACGGUGUGACGCCUGCCCGGUGCCGGAAGGUUAAUUGAUGGGGUCAGCGCAAGCGAAGCUCCUGAUCGAAGCCCCGGUAAACGGCGGCCGUAACUAUAACGGUCCUAAGGUAGCGAAAUUCCUUGUCGGGUAAGUUCCGACCUGCACGAAUGGCGUAAUGAUGGCCAGGCUGUCUCCACCCGAGACUCAGUGAAAUUGAACUCGCUGUGAAGAUGCAGUGUACCCGCGGCAAGACGGAAAGACCCCGUGAACCUUUACUAUAGCUUGACACUGAACAUUGAGCCUUGAUGUGUAGGAUAGGUGGGAGGCUUUGAAGUGUGGACGCCAGUCUGCAUGGAGCCGACCUUGAAAUACCACCCUUUAAUGUUUGAUGUUCUAACGUGGACCCGUGAUCCGGGUUGCGGACAGUGUCUGGUGGGUAGUUUGACUGGGGCGGUCUCCUCCUAAAGAGUAACGGAGGAGCACGAAGGUUGGCUAAUCCUGGUCGGACAUCAGGAGGUUAGUGCAAUGGCAUAAGCCAGCUUGACUGCGAGCGUGACGGCGCGAGCAGGUGCGAAAGCAGGUCAUAGUGAUCCGGUGGUUCUGAAUGGAAGGGCCAUCGCUCAACGGAUAAAAGGUACUCCGGGGAUAACAGGCUGAUACCGCCCAAGAGUUCAUAUCGACGGCGGUGUUUGGCACCUCGAUGUCGGCUCAUCACAUCCUGGGGCUGAAGUAGGUCCCAAGGGUAUGGCUGUUCGCCAUUUAAAGUGGUACGCGAGCUGGGUUUAGAACGUCGUGAGACAGUUCGGUCCCUAUCUGCCGUGGGCGCUGGAGAACUGAGGGGGGCUGCUCCUAGUACGAGAGGACCGGAGUGGACGCAUCACUGGUGUUCGGGUUGUCAUGCCAAUGGCACUGCCCGGUAGCUAAAUGCGGAAGAGAUAAGUGCUGAAAGCAUCUAAGCACGAAACUUGCCCCGAGAUGAGUUCUCCCUGAGACUUUAGGUCUCCUGAAGGAACGUUGAAGACGACGACGUUGAUAGGCCGGGUGUGUAAGCGCAGCGAUGCGUUGAGCUAACCGGUACUAAUGAACCGUGAGGCUUAACCUU